rnacentral:sRNA from 1 species
UGAACGCCGUCAGGGCCAGGGGCCGUGUC